rnacentral:rRNA from 1 species
UACGGGGGGGGCAAGCGUUGUUCGGAAUUACUGGGCGUAAAGGGCGCGUAGGCGGCCUGCUAAGUCGGACGUGAAAUCCCUCGGCUCAACCGGGGAACUGCGUCCGAUACUGCCGGGCUAGAGUCCGGAAGAGGUGAGUGGAAUUCCUGGUGUAGCGGUGAAAUGCGCAGAUAUCAGGAGGAACACCAAUGGCGAAGGCAGCUCACUGGGACGGUACUGACGCUGAGACGCGAAAGCGUGGGGAGCAAACAGG